UUUGAAUUAUGAUUGGUAAAGAAUCUGCCUGCAAUGCAGAAGACCCUGGUUCGAUUCCUGGAUUGGGAA
rnacentral:tRNA from 1 species